rnacentral:rRNA from 1 species
UACAGAGGUCUCAAGCGUUGUUCGGAAUCACUGGGCGUAAAGCGUGCGUAGGCUGUUUCGUAAGUCGUGUGUGAAAGGCGCGGGCUCAACCCGCGGACGGCACAUGAUACUGCGAGACUAGAGUAAUGGAGGGGGGAACCGGAAUUCUCGGUGUAGCAGUGAAAUGCGUAGAUAUCGAGAGGAACACUCGUGGCGAAGGCGGGUUCCUGGACAUUAACUGACGCUGAGGCACAAGGCCAGGGGGAGCGAAAGGG